AUGUCCUGAAGGCAGUUGGUGUCCCUGCACCCGCUGUCAUUCCUCUGUUUUUUUCCGUAGCAACAGCAUCACCUGGGGGCCUCCUACCUCCUGCGACCUGGCGCUGGGCACUGUCAGGAGCUGGUGCUCACCGAGGAUGAGAAGAAGCUGCUGGCUAAAGAAGGCAUCACCCUGCCCACUCAGCUGCCCCUCAGUAAGUACGAGGAGCGAGUGCUGAAAAAAGUCCGCCGGAAAAUCCGGAACAAGCAGUCGGCCCAAGAAAGCAGGAAGAAGAAGAAGGAAUAUAUCGACAGCCUGGAGACUCGGAUGUCAGCUUGCACUGCUCAGAAUCAGGAGUUACAAAGAAAAGUCUUGCAUCUCGAGAAGCAAAACCUGUCCCUCUUGGAGCAGCUGAAGAAACUCCAGGCCAUUGUGGUGCAGUCCACCAGCAAGUCAGCCCAGACGGGCACCUGUGUUGCGGUCCUGUUGCUGUCCUUUGCCCUCAUCAUCCUCCCCUCCAUCAGCCCUUUUGGCCCCAACAAAGCCGAGAGCCCUGGGGACUUUGCGCCUGUGCGAGUGUUCUCC
rnacentral:sRNA from 1 species